rnacentral:rRNA from 1 species
CCUACGGGAGGCAGCAGUGAGGAAUAUUGGUCAAUGGGCGAGAGUCUGAACCAGCCAAGUAGCGUGAAGGAUGACUGCCCUACGGGUUGUAAACUUCUUUUAUAAAGGAAUAAAAUGAGGCAAGUGAGCCUUUUUGUAUGUACUUUAUGAAUAAGGAUCGGCUAACUCAGUGCCAGCAGACGCGGUAAUACGGAGGAUCCGAGCGUUAUCCGGAUUUAUUGGGUUUAAAGGGAGCGUAGAUGGGUUGUUAAGUCAGUUGUGAAAGUUUGCGGCUCAACCGUAAAAUUGCAAGUGAUACUGGCAGUCUUGAGUACAGUUGAGGUAGGCGGAAUUCGUGGUGUAGCGGUGAAAUGCUUAGAUAUCACGAAGAACCCCGAUUGCGAAGGCAGCUUACUAAACUGUGACUGACAUUGAUGCUCGAAAGUGUGGGUAUCAAACAGGAUUAGAUACCCGUGUAGUC